rnacentral:rRNA from 1 species
GACGAACGCUGGCGGCGUACCUAAUACAUGCAAGUCGAGCGGACGGAUGGGAGCUUGCUCCCAGACCGUCAGCGGCGGACGGGUGAGUAACACGUGGGCAACCUGCCUGUAAGACUGGGAUAACUCCGGGAAACCGGGGCUAAUACCGGAUAACUCUUUCCCUCACAUGAGGGAAAGCUGAAAGAUGGCAUCUCGCUAUCACUUACAGAUGGGCCCGCGGCGCAUUAGCUAGUUGGUGAGGUAACGGCUCACCAAGGCGACGAUGCGUAGCCGACCUGAGAGGGUGAUCGGCCACACUGGGACUGAGACACGGCCCAGACUCCUACGGGAGGCAGCAGUAGGGAAUCUUCCGCAAUGGACGAAAGUCUGACGGAGCAACGCCGCGUGAGUGAUGAAGGUUUUCGGAUCGUAAAACUCUGUUGUCAGGGAAGAACAAGUACCGGAGUAACUGCCGGUACCUUGACGGUACCUGACCAGAAAGCCACGGCUAACUACGUG